UUUCUUUCUCUCUUUCUCUCCUUUCUCUCUCAAAAUCGAUGGCCAUUAAGAAGGAUUCAUGUCGAAGGGUUGAUUUCAGAGGAGAGUAGCCACCAAACUCGUCUCUUAGCCGUCGUAAUCAUCAUCUCCGGCUGUCGUUGCGAGCUGUUUCCACCGGAGUUAGGGUUCUUUGGCCACAGAAAUCGACAUCUGUUGUGGUGAAAGAAAUCGAGGGUUUUUGUUCUCUGAUGCUCCAAUCACUCUGUAAUGGUUUUUUUACAAUGCCUCAGCUCGUCAGUAGAAUUGGGGUCAUUGGUGUGACCUUAAUGGCUGUCUUAUCUGGAUUUGGAGCUGUAAAUUUACCCUACAGCUAUAUAUCCCUCUUCAUUAGGGAGAUUGAAGAAGCAGAUAUAAUAUCUUUGGAAAGGCAACUGAUGCAGUCAACUGAGACAUGCAUUGCAAAGAAGAAUAAAAUUAUUCUGUGUCAAUUAGAGGUGGAACGAAGUCUAGGAUAGAAGAGCUGCACAUCCAUUUGUGAGCAGAAACCUAUUAAGGCCACUGCUACGGCAUCACCUCCUGAUGUUCAAAGGUCAAGGAGCAGCGGAAAGACAAAGGUCGGGAUCAAUGGGAUAUUUUAUUUCGAUUCUAAUCCUUGGGAAGCUUGUCUCCGCUUCAACGAGCCUCAUCCCCAACCACAUCAUCAACUGGAUCUGCAACUUUAUAUUGUGGAGGAAGAUAUUUCAGCAGAGGAUGUAGUGUGCACUUUACCGCUCAUCGAGCAGUUGGAGCGAGAGUGGCCGGAGACUAUCGUCAUAGAAGAUGACGAUGAGGAUGUUCUAGAUCUUGAACUAAAGCUUUAAAAAUUAAGAGUAUUCUCUCUUUUACCCCGAUAAAUGAAUAAAAAACAAUUAAUUGAAAAAUCGGGUUUUAAGACGAGGAUUUUCUGCAAAUGUUAUCUUUGAAUAAUUUUUAUUUUACCUUUGAAUAAUGUUUAUUCAUUUAUGUAAUAUUUCUCUUUUCAGUUUUUAUUUUA